UACGUAGGGUGCAAGCGUUAAUCGGAAUUACUGGGCGUAAAGCGUGCGCAGGCGGUUUUGUAAGUUUGUCGUGAAAGCCCCGGGCUCAACCUGGGAAUUGCGAUGAAGACUGCAAGGCUUGAAUCUGGCAGAGGGGGGUAGAAUUCCACGUGUAGCAGUGAAAUGCGUAGAGAUGUGGAGGAACACCGAUGGCGAAGGCAGCCCCCUGGGUCAAGAUUGACGCUCAUGCACGAAAGCGUGGGGGGAGCAAACAGG
rnacentral:rRNA from 1 species